GAUGAGGUAAUAGGCUGAAAUGAGAUUAAGGAAGUAAACAUGGUUAUUUAACCUCUGUGUGUCUCAGUUUCUGCAUCUGUGUUAUGAGAAUUAAAUGCAGUGAAAUACAAAGCACUUAGACCAUAGCCUGGCACCUCUGUUUGUCAUGGUGGUAAUUAUUGUACCUGCCUAAGUUGACUGCAUUUACUACAUGGCUGAUGAGCGGUUCUGUGUUGGGUGUCCCAGGGGAGGGCUGUCAAGAAUGUCAGUACAAUUGUCUCAUCCUGGCAUUCAAGGCCCUUUGCAGUUUGGCUCACCUUCCAGACAACCCCUGACCUUCUCCCAAGCCUCCACUCCCCUCAAAACUAACUGAUCACCUGGUCUCUGCCACUGUCCCCAGUGACCCUGACCUUGACACCUCCUCCAAUUGCCAUCUCUGCAGUCCCAAGCCAUUUAGUCCUUCUCUGAUGCCUCUUCUUCCAAGAAGUCUUCCUCGUUCACACCCCCAACCCCAACCGGACAAGAACACGCCCAUCUGGAAACGCUUGGGGUCCUUGGUAUGCCUGUUCCUCUCUUCCUGGAGCCAAGACACUCGGGUACCUGACAGUCUCCCCUGCACCCCAACCCAGCCUGGGAGCUCCUUGUCGGCAGGACCCAGCCUGAUUUCAAUGAGAAUGGCUUCAUCGACGAGGAGGACCUGCAGAGGAUCAUCCUCCGACUGCUCAACAGUGACGACGUGUCAGAGGACCUGCUGACCGACCUCACCAGCCACGAUCAUGACUCCCUUCCUGGGUCUCCAGAUCAGUAGCCCACCCCAAGGGGCCCUCCCAGCAACACCGCAGCCACUGCAGGCAGGUGGGCCAACGGCAGGUCAGCCUCAGAUGCACACUUCACAACAUCCCCUCUCCCACAUUAUUCCAGCACAGCGCCCAGAUGUCCUAGAGUGACAGUCCAAAGUAUGGCAGGACAUGAAGACAGCCAUGGACCCAUUUGUCCUAAGACCAUGAGAACAUGUUGGUCUGGAUGGGAACUAGGGGCAGAUAAAACCAUGAGGGCUCAUCGCUGCCUCCCCACCCUGACUGAGCCCCUUGCAGUGCAGAGCCCCUGCCUGUGACUGGGUGACAAGAUCGGGUGGGGGAUGUCACCCUGUCCAUCACCCCACACCCGUUCUCACUGCCAAGUUUGUCCUGGAGGCACCAAGAGGACUCUUCCCACGAUGAGACCAGCCCACAAGGUCCCAGACAGCCAUGCACAUGACCUCAUCUCUCUGCACCUCCGUGUCCUUGUCUGGGGCAGGGAUAGAGCACCUGCCUCCCAGGGGACUCCAGGGAUGCUAAGCACCCAGCGAGAGCUUGGCUUACGGUAGCGCUCAGCACGUGGUGCCUCCCCCCACGCCUGCGCCCCCAUCUCCUUUUCUGAGUCUCUGCUCUCUGGCUCCUCUGCA